rnacentral:rRNA from 1 species
CCUACGGGAGGCAGCAGUGGGGAAUAUUGGACAAUGGGGGCAACCCUGAUCCAGCCAUGCCGCGUGUGUGAAGAAGGCCCUCGGGUUGUAAAGCACUUUCAGUGAGGAAGAACGCCUGGUGGUUAAUACCCAUCAGGAAAGACAUCACUCACAGAAGAAGCACCGGCUAACUCCGUGCCAGCAGCCGCGGUAAUACGGAGGGUGCGAGCGUUAAUCGGAAUUACUGGGCGUAAAGCGCGCGUAGGUGGCUUGAUAAGCCGGUUGUGAAAGCCCCGGGCUCAACCUGGGAACGGCAUCCGGAACUGUCAAGCUAGAGUGCAGGAGAGGAAGGUAGAAUUCCCGGUGUAGCGGUGAAAUGCGUAGAGAUCGGGAGGAAUACCAGUGGCGAAGUCGGCCUUCUGGACUGACACUGACACUGAGGUGCGAAAGCGUGGGUAGCAAACAGGAUUAGAUACCCUUGUAGUC